UUUUUGGUUCUUCGCAAUGGCGUUCGGUUUACUUGGUCAGGUCCGGAAGGAAGCAGCCAGAAUCGAAAUUGCCGUGUGCCGAAGGUUAGCUGGAAACGC
rfam:Bibersteinia trehalosi TSDA-ARS-TSMARC-192, complete genome.